rnacentral:rRNA from 1 species
UACGAACCGUACAAACGUUAUUCGGAAUCACUGGGCUUAAAGGGUGCGUAGGCGGCCAUGUAAGUGAGGUGUGAAAUCCCUCGGCUCAACCGAGGAACUGCGCUUCAUACUGCAUGGCUUGAGGGAGACAGGGGUAAGCGGAACUGAUGGUGGAGCGGUGAAAUGCGUUGAUAUCAUCAGGAACACCGGUGGCGAAAGCGGCUUACUGGGUCUCUUCUGACGCUGAG